AUUGAACGCUGGCGGCAGGCCUAACACAUGCAAGUCGAGCGGAGCGGCGGACGGGUGAGUAAUGCCUAGGAAUCUGCCUGGUAGUGGGGGAUAACGUCCGGAACCGGGCGCUAAUACCGCAUACUAUCAGAUGAGCCUAGGUCGGAUUAGCUAGGUGGUGGGGUAAAGGCCUACCAAGGCGACGAUCCGUAACUGUGCUGAGGGGAUGGUCAGUCAAACUGCAACUGAGACACGGUCCGGACUCCUCCGGGAGGCAGCAGAGGAGAAUAUUGGACAAUGGGCGAAAGCCUGAUCCAGCCAUGCCGCGUGUGUGAAGAAGGUCUUGUGAUUGUAAAGCACUUUAAGUUGGGAGGCGGUACCAUAAGAAUAAGCACCGGCUAACUCCGUGCCAGCAGCCGCGGUAAUUC
rnacentral:rRNA from 1 species